rnacentral:lncRNA from 1 species
AAACAUCGGGAAUUUUUUCACAGAAAAGCUGAAAAUAAACUUUACUGUUUUAUAUUGUGAUAUUAAAUAUUUCAUAUCGCCCAGCACUACAAAACAUUUACACACACAUUUGCUUUUAUUUAUUUAUUUUUUGGUUUUUAAAGGAAUAAGUGAUUCAAAAACACUUAUUUAAACUUUUUAUAUUAAUUAUCGGGCAAAUCUGUUGGAGAAAGUGCCACUAAGUCAAGUUUUCACCAGAUAAUAUUCCCAAUCUAAGAUCUGAUGAUAAAACUCUGAUGACCCAGCAUUCUAGAAGCAUUUAAACGCAUCAUUUACAGAUGAAUCUCUGAGCUGUGAAGAGUCUCAUGUUUUUUCUGUGCGUCUUAAGAGAUUUUAAAUAUUUGUGUGUACAUUUACUUUGUGAAUGUGUUAAUAUUUCUCUGAAUUUCAUCAUUUUGUUCCUCAUGAAGAAACAAAUCCAGAAUCAGAAUGGAGAACUGACCAGAAAAGUUGAAGCAUCAGUGACGUCACGAGGUCCAGUCCAGGGUUCCGUGCUCCAUCUGGACCGGGUUUCCACUGUUUAUCUCAUCAACUUUUUGCUGCAUAAACCUCUUUUCCUGUUGUAAUCCUCAAUAUCCACAAUAAACAUGAAGCAUAUAGUUUGAACAGAAGAUCUUCACGAUCUCCUCUGAGGGAACCGUCGUUCAUCUGGAAACUUCUCUUCACUUUAACCUAUUGAAGCGGAACUCGUUUAUGACCAGAACGACUGGAGGAAACCGCAGACUUCUACUCAGAAACGAGGGGGGGGUUGAUGCUCACAGGACCUGCGUGCAGCAAAGAAGACAACCCCCCCAUGCAGCACCUCCACCGCCGGAGAGGAACCUCGACGAGUGAAACCAGGUCAACCCACUGAUGGUCGACAGCUUGAAGAAAACUUUCCGUGUGAAGGUUUGCAGAAGCUUCCUGAAGCUCAGGCAAACGUGCUCGGCAGGCCUCUCCGUCUGAGGGGGGGGGUCAGACUCCGUCACACGGGGGGCCAAAAUCCAAAACACACCUGAGGACCAACAGGAGAAACAUUCAUGGAAGACUGUAAAACGGCGUUUCUAGAAGUUAAAACUGGAACUUCUGAACAGAAUAUCGACUGUAUAACAUUACCUGAUGAUGAUGAUGAUGUGUGAAUGCUGUUGGAUGAAGAUGCUAGUGCUGAUAGCAGCUAAUAUGUUAGCUAAAUGUCAAAUGAGCCUAAAAAAAAAUGAAAAGUCUAAAUUAGCCAAAACAGCUAGCAUGUAGCUAAACAUGAGCUAAAAAUGGAGCAGAAUAAAUAAUCAGAACAAUGAGAAAACAGAAAUUCUGAGAGUCCACGUCACAGACUGAACCAGUGUUACGAUGUCAGUACCAGCACCGGUUCUCCCUGACCCGACCCUGGUUCUCGAGUGGGAUUCAUCAGAACCCCUCUCUUCUGCCGUCAGGUCGAUGGAUCCAUCCAAAGAUUCCUUCAGCCUCUCAGACCGUCCCGUUCCAGGAACUAUCAGAACCUCAGCGGCAGAUCGACCAGGUCCAAACCCGGCAACUCUGGAGAGGAGCUGCUGAGGGAGGCAGAGUUGUUCUGCUGGUCAAGAAGAUCUGAUUCAGAGGGAAAAGGUUUGACCUCAAUGACAGCUCUGGGUCUGCAGAGGUGCAUGAUGGUCCGACGGUUCUGAACCCCAGAGGUGAACACAGACGGACGUUAGUGUCCUCCAUCUUCACCGGCAGCACACGCUCGCUCUCAGCUCGUCACGUGUCGCGUCCAGUACCGGUACCCUGACCCGGCACCGGACGCAGUACCGGGUGUGAGCCAGAACCUAGUCAGGGUUUGGGUCCCAGUGCACUCUGUGUCCGGUUCAGGCCCGGAGGACUCAUGGUUCAUAUCAAAUGACGAGUGCGGUACAACCAAAAGGUCCGUUUCUGACGUGGAGGGGUCCUCAACCAGACGUCAACAUGUGCCGGGUCGGGAUGAGGAAACCGGGCCGGCCUCCAUGUGACAUCAUUAACAUGCAGAAACUCGUGCUGGUUGUUGGGGAACUUCUCCAUCCGUCACAGACGUGUCCUCAGAAUCUUUCGGGCUCGGCGGUGCCGCACACUGACGGGUCUCUCAGCUUCUUCUGGAGCCUGAAGCUGAAACGGUUCUGAAACUGAAGCGGGUCAGACUCUGAUGCUGGACGCUCUCUGUUCACCAGCAGCUGAAGACAUGAGGAUAGAAAGAGGAAGGCAGGGGGCGGAGCGCAGAGAGAGUCACUGCAGAACCCCGGAGGUUCAGGAGGACAAAGGACGGAACCGGAGAACCCGCGGAUCCAGACGGGCUCGGGUUUGAGGUGUUGUCAGUGGAUCUGGGGAAUUUCAAAGGCAAUUUGAAGCUGUAGGACUCACAGCUGCUAUCCCCCCCUCCCCCUCCCCCCUGUGGACCCGCCCUCAUUGGCUGAGCAGGGACACGCCCCUCACUCUGCCCCUCC